rnacentral:rRNA from 1 species
AGCGAACGCUGGCGGCAGGCCUAACACAUGCAAGUCGAACGGAUCCUUCGGGAUUAGUGGCGGACGGGUGAGUAACACGUGGGAACGUGCCCUUUGGUUCGGAACAACUCAGGGAAACUGGUGCUAAUACCGGAGGUGCUCUUCGGGGGAAAGAUUUUUCGCCAUUGGAGCGGCCCGCGUCUGAUUAGCUAGUUGGUGAGGUAAAGGCUCACCAAGGCGACGAUCAGUAGCUGGUCUGAGAGGAUGAUCAGCCACAUUGGGACUGAGACACGGCCCAAACUCCUAUGGGAGGAAGCAGUGGGGAAUCUUGCGCAAUGGGCGAAAGCCUGACGCAGCCAUGCCGCGUGAAUGAUGAAGGUCUUAGGAUUGUAAAAUUCUUUCACCGGGGACGAUAAUGACGGUACCCGGAGAAGAAGCCCCGGCUAACUUCGUGCCAGCCGCCGCGGUAAGAC